rnacentral:rRNA from 1 species
UGCCAGCCGCCGCGGUAAUACGGAGGGUGCUAGCGUUGUUCGGAAUUACUGGGCGUAAAGCGCGCGUAGGCGGCUUGGUAAGUUGAGAGUGAAAUCCCGGGGCUCAACCCCGGAACUGCUCUCAAAACUGCUAGGCUAGAGUAUGGUAGGGGACAGUGGAAUUCCUAGUGUAGAAGUGAAAUUCGUAGAUAUUAGGAGGAACACCAGAGGCGAAGGCGACUGUCUGGACCAUUACUGACGCUAAGGCGCCAAAGCGUCGGCAUCUAACCGGAUCAGAUA